rnacentral:rRNA from 1 species
GACGAACGCUGGCGGCGUGCUUAACACAUGCAAGUCGAACGGUGAAGCUCCAGCUUGCUGGAGUGGAUCAGUGGCGAACGGGUGAGUAACACGUGAGCAACCUGCCCCUGACUCUGGAAUAAGCGCUGGAAACAGCGUCUAAUACUGGAUACGAGAAGGGUCCGCAUGGGCACUUUCUGGAAAGUUUUUCGGUUGGGGAUGGGCUCGCGGCCUAUCAGCUUGUUGGUGAGGUAAUGGCUCACCAAGGCGACGACGGGUAGCCGGCCUGAGAGGGCGACCGGACACACUGGGACUGAGACACGGCACAGACUCCUACGGGAGGCAGCAGUGGGGAAUAGUGCACAAUGGGCGAAAGCCUGAUGCAGCGACGCCGCGUGAGGGAUGACGGCCUUCGGGUUGUAAACCUCUUUCAGCAGGGAAGAAGCGAAAGUGACGGUACCUGCAGAAGAAGCACCGGCUAACUACGUG